rnacentral:lncRNA from 1 species
GCCGAGCUUGGUCACGUGAGCUUAUAACCCAAAGAUGGGGGCAUUGAAGUGUUGGGACUUUGGUUCAGCAUUAGCGGGUCGGGUUCGGCGUGGCUAUAUUCUGACCCGCCCGUUCCAAGCAAGGAGUUGGGCUAUGUGGCUUGGGCGAAGGCUCUGGGCCUCAUGGUUCCUAGAGAGGAGGGCAAUGCGUGAGGCUGGUUUCACAGAGCAGCGAUCACUUCCCUCUCCUUACAGUGGAAGGAUAACGGGUCGGUGCCUUCCAAAUCCACUAUGGCCCCGCUAGGCUGCCCAUUCGAACCAACACUUUUUUUUCGAUUGCAAUAGUUAUUUAAGUUAGGGCUGGGCACGGGCCGGGAUCUUGGUAAUCCCGAUCCCGGGCUCGGAAUUAUUUUUCGGGACGGGACGGGACGG